rnacentral:lncRNA from 1 species
ACCAGAGAACAAAGUGCAGCAGCGCUGCCCCCCUUCCUUGCUUCCUCAAACCAAAAUUUACAUGAAAUCAAAAUUUACAUGAAAUUUGUUGUUUGAUAGGCUGAAUAAUUGAACAGACAAAAAGUCGAGUAGAGAGAAAAUGAGGUUUCGCGAAGAUGAAGAGUUCUCAGGUGAAGGAUUGGUGUUGAUGUUGAAUCGUUGAUGGGCAGUGGGAGUGAUGAUUGAUUUAUUUUUGAACUUUUAGUUAUUUAGUUAUUUAAUAUUAUUAAACAUUGAUACUGUUAAACUGAGAGUUAAAAUAAAGACACAUGUCAUAAAU